rnacentral:rRNA from 1 species
AUUGAACGCUGGCGGCAGGCUUAACACAUGCAAGUCGAGCGGAGACUUCGGUCUUAGCGGCGAACGGGUGAGUAAUACCUAGGAAUCUGCCCAUUAGCGGGGGACAACGUUUCGAAAGGAACGCUAAUACCGCAUACGCCCUACGGGGGAAAGGCAGGGGAGUCUUUUGACCUUGCACUAAUGGAUGAGCCUAGGCCGGAUUAGCUAGUUGGUAGGGUAAAGGCCUACCAAGGCGACGAUCUGUAGCUGGUCUGAGAGGAUGACCAGCCACACUGGAACUGAGACACGGUCCAGACUCCUACGGGAGGCAGCAGUGGGGAAUAUUGGACAAUGGGGGCGAACCCUGAUCCAGCCAUGCCGCGUGUGUGAAGAAGGCC